rnacentral:rRNA from 1 species
AAGGCUUGACAUGGGGAAGACUGGACGAGAGAUCGUCCUUCUCUAGCAAUAGAGCUUCCCACACAGGUGCUGCAUGGCUGUCGUCAGCUCGUGUCGUGAGAUGUUGGGUUAAGUCCCGCAACGAGCGCAACCCCCGUUUCUAGUUGCCAUCAUUCAGUUGGGCCCUCUAGAGAGACUGCCGCGAAUAACGCGGAGGAAGGUGGGACGACGUCAAGUCAUCAUGG